CGUGGGUAACCUGCCCAAGAGAUCGGGAUAACACCUGGAAACAGAUGCUAAUACCGGAUAACAACAGAUGAUGCCUAUCAACUGUUUAAAAGAUGGUUCUGCUAUCACUCUUGGAUGGACCUGCGGUGCAUUAGCUAGUUGGUAGGGUAACGGCCUACCAAGGCUAUGAUGCAUAGCCGAGUUGAGAGACUGAUCGGCCACAUUGGGACUGAGACACGGCCCAAACUCCUACGGGAGGCAGCAGGG
rnacentral:rRNA from 1 species